rnacentral:rRNA from 1 species
AGCGAACGUUAGCGGCGGGCCUAACACAUGCAAGUCGAACGCGAAAGGUCUUCGGACUGAGUAGAGUGGCGCACGGGUGAGUAACACGUAGGUAAUCUACCCUUUGGCGGGGGAUAACGUUCCGAAAGGAGCGCUAAUACCGCAUAAGACCACGGAGUCUCCGGACGCUGUGGGAAAAGGUGGCCUCUUCUUGAAAGCUACCACCGAAGGAUGAGCCUGCGUCCCAUCAGCUAGUUGGUAAGGUAAUGGCUUACCAAGGCGAAGACGGGUAGCUGGUUUGAGAGAAUGAUCAGCCACACUGGCACUGGAACACGGGCCAGACUCCUACGGGAGGCAGCAGUGAGGAAUAUUGGGCAAUGGGCGAAAGCCUGACCCAGCCACGCCGCGUGAGUGAUGAAGGCCCUCGGGUCGUAAAGCUCUGUGGAGAGGGACGAAAACCCUGGUUUCAAAUAUGCUCCAGGCUUGACGGUACCUCUUUAGCAAGCACCGGCUAACUCUGUGCCAG